AGAGGGACAUUACACAAAUAUGAAGGCGGGCUGGAACCUCUCGGGGUUACAGCCUUGCUGAAUUAUUCACCCUUGUCUUUUGCGUACUUCUUGUUUCCUUGGUGGGUUCGCCCACCACUAGGACAAACAUAAACCUUUUGUAAUUGCAAUCAGCGUCAGUAACAAAUUAAUAAUUACAACUUUCAACAACGGAUCUCUUGGUUCUGGCAUCGAUGAAGAACGCAGCGAAAUGCGAUAAGUAGUGUGAAUUGCAGAAUUCAGUGAAUCAUCGAAUCUUUGAACGCACAUUGCGCCCUUUGGUAUUCCAAAGGGCAUGCCUGUCGAGCGUCAUUUGUACCCUCAAGCUUUGCUUGGUGUUGGGCGUCUUGUCUCUAGCUUUGCUGGAGACUCGCCUUAAAGUAAUUGGCAGCCGGCCUACUGGUUUCGGAGCGCAGCACAAGUCGCACUCUCUAUCAGCAAAGGUCUAGCAUCCAUUAAGCCUUUUUUUCAACUUUUGACCUCGGA
rnacentral:rRNA from 1 species